rnacentral:miRNA from 1 species
ACAAAAUUCCACUGGAGACAA